UACAGAGGGUGCAAGCGUUAAUCGGAAUUACUGGGCGUAAAGCGUGCGUAGACGGUUAUGUAAGUCGGGUGUGAAAGCCCCGGGCUUAACCUGGGAAUGGCCAUGGAAACUGGCGAGCUGGAGUGUGGCAGAGGGGGGUGGAAUUCCGCGUGUAGCAGUGAAAUGCGUAGAGAUGCGGAGGAACACCGAUGGCGAAGGCAGCCCCCUGGGCUAACACUGACGCUGAGGCACGAAAGCGUGGGGAGCAAACAGG
rnacentral:rRNA from 1 species